rnacentral:rRNA from 1 species
GACGAACGCUGGCGGCGUGCUUAACACAUGCAAGUCGAACGGAAAGGCCUGCUUUCCCUUGUGGAUUGCGGGUACUCGAGUGGCGAACGGGUGAGUAACACGUGAGUGAUCUGCCCCCAACUUGGGUAUAAGCCUGGGAAACUGGGUCUAAUUCCCGAUAGGACUGCAGGGUGGUGCCUGUGGUGGAAAACGAUUUUCUAGUGGUUGGGGAUGAGCUCGCGGCCUAUCAGCUUGUUGGUGGGGUAAUGGCCUACCAAGGCGGCGACGGGUAGCCGGCCUGAGAGGGUGGACGGCCACAUUGGGACUGAGAUACGGCCCAGACUCCUACGGGAGGCAGCAGUGGGGAAUAUUGCACAAUGGGCGGAAGCCUGAUGCAGCGACGCCGCGUGGGGGAUGACGGCCUUCGGGUUGUAAACUCCUUUCGACCGCGAGGAGCCACCUGGUUGGAAGGGUGGUGACGGUAGUGGUAGAAGAAGCACCGGCUAACUACGUG